rnacentral:misc_RNA from 1 species
UUAGUUUAUUUAACUAAUUUCAGAUUUAACAUGGUUAAAAGAGUUUAUUAUAGGCUACUGACGAGCACUGGCCAGGGGUUAAAAACCCCCCGACGGUCCGGUUAAAGACGGGCCCGCCAAAGCAACAUGGUAGUUAUACAAAGGGUUGGAGAUCGGGCCUGGAAGACCCUAACUCAUUAAUGAUCCUUCCGCAGGUUCACCUACGGAAA